CCUCACAUUCAUCUCAGAUCCUCCUUACCUAUACAUGCCCCUUGGACCUCAUUUUCUGGCAAACUACCCUGGGCUCACCAGCUUCGGCUCCAGUUUUCAUAGCCAUCUCUCCUUCAUCACUGACUGUUUGGCACCUAUCCCAGCCAGGGUGAGCUUCUACUGCUGCAGAAUCAGAAAGGAAAGGGGACAUUUUACAGCAUGGAGACUAGACCCUCAUUGUGUGCCACAGGCAUAAAUUCCAUUCUGUUGUUAAUAUUCCCUUUCUGGAAACAGUUUAUUUACCACAUACUGCUCAUGGUAACUAACACAAGCACACCUAUUCCAGAUAAGCUUUUGUAGAUUUAGGGGCGAUCCCAGCCUAGAAUGGGGCAGGGCAAGACAAAGUAGUCCUGUAAUACCUGUCCAAAGUGUCUGGCCCUAAGAUGGUGGGAAAAUCAUGCCACUAUUGAAUAAAUAUAAUGAAGAUGAGUUUAAUUAAUCAGAGUGAAGAGGGUAAGGGAAUGGCUGAUUAGAACAGCC
rnacentral:lncRNA from 1 species